UUUAGCUAUGCGUUCGCGGUUCAAAAACAAUAAUCAUUUUUGAUACAUCAAUCCCACUACACAUACUUGUCGCUUGACUUGUUGGGUUACACGCUGACGUGUCCAAGAAAAGAAAUAAACAGGUCUAGUCUUUUGAACCGGCCCCAAAUGCAUCAAAACCCACCGCUAUUUCAAUCUCAGCUCAAACCCUACCACUAUUUCCCCUCACAGUUGCCUCGCCCCAAAUGCAAAAAACCUCUCACGAAUCAACUCAUACGAGGAGAUCUAAAGCUACAAGAUUGAAGCCCACCUUACGCAGCAGAAUCGACCGUCACUAAGGCCUUCUUCUCCGGCAAAGUAUCCGUCUGUAGGGGUUCCAGCCUCGCCUCGAUUUCGUCAAAUUUCAGCUUCGCCUCUCCACUUCACGAUCAUUUGCAGGACCCUGAAGGUGCAUUUCUUAUACUUUAUGUGAUAGAAACAAUUAUAUAAAUAUUCAUCUUUUUUGCUUAUCGUAGCUUGAUGCUUUGAUUGGCUCGUUGAAUUCGAAGGGUGAGAGGGAAGGAGCUCUUAAAAAGCAGCAUGAGAAAAACUACAACAAAAUAAAGUAAGUUGUUCAUGACCUUGUACAAAAAUUGUUACUUUCUCAUUUUUCAUGCCUCAAGUAAGGGGUGGAGGGGUGGCAUGGGGAGGGGGAAGUGGGAGAAAGCAAAAUGUGGGUGUGAAUUCUCGUGAGUUUAGCCAUUAUUGAUUGCUAAACUGAACAUUAAACUUGUGUCUUGUCCCGGGCAAAAAGUAAGCUAUCAUGGUUUGCUGUAGAUCUUUAUAUUUAUAUGUGGUUUAAUAUUGAACAAUAUGAAUAUUAUUGCCUUUUGCUCUGGAAGUUAUUUUUUGAUUUAUUUUGCUGCAAUUUUACUUCUGUUGGUUUUCUGUGCCGUGCAAAUUUCUUUUUCUUAUCAGUCAAAAGUUGUUUUUUCUCUUUUGAUUGGCUUUUUACAUCCUCAGUUGAGAAUUAACAUUGCACUCUGGUGAAACUAGCCAAUCAUUUUCACUAGUUGCAUACUAUAUGAGACUGUUUAGCAUGUUUGGCCAAGUUUUUAAUUUUAUUGAUGUAAAAAUAACAAUAUUGUGUUGAAGUGAACAGAAUCUGAAUGUUUUGUUUGCUGUUCAAACAUUUAUGUUUGGUUUUAUAUUCGGUUAUUUUGAGUAACUUGAUUGCACUGUGCAAGGGAAUUUCAUUAAAAAUGUUGUUUAGUUGUUUGAUGUAGUGUGUAAUAUGUAUGUCGUUUGUGUGUAGCAUGCCGGGAAAGAACUUCGGACUUUGUCAUAGCUGUAGAGAGAAGGGUCACUUAUUUGCGAAUUGUCCGUCCAAACAAAAGAUGAUGCUCCUUGUGUAAAUGUGGAAUUGUGAAGUGCUUCGAGGUCGAGAGGGAGACAAAGAACAAGGGAAGAUUGUUUGAGUGCUGCAGUGCUAAUUGUAAAUAGUGGGCAUAGGUCGAUGAGGGAGAAUCAAGCAGUGGGUCAAGUAAUAUUACCGCUAACUCGAAUAAUCAUGCAGCACUUGAAGAUGUUCAGCAGUUCUCUCGCGUGUUCCAGUCUCUUUGUCACGUGGUCUCUAAGGAACGAAACAUUGAGAUUUCUUUGAAUGUGACAAUAAGGAAUGCCAACGAAAGUGUAGAAGUGGAUGUGAAAGGGAAGGGGCCAACAUGAUUAGUGGUUAGCUGAAUAAGUGACUAGUGUAGUUGAUGUAUUCUGUUAAUAUUGGUGUUUGCACUAAGGUGUUGGCCAGAAAAUUAUUCCUCGCAAACGGUCAUGUUCUUAUCUUAAUGUGAUUAUUCUGGCUUGAAGUUAUUUUUAUGCAAAGCUAGGGUGUGUGAAAUAUUGUUUCAUUUUAAUAGCUUCUAGUUACGUUUUUGAAUGAAAAUCGUCAUACAAAUCAUCACUUAGCAGUUUUUAACUAUUGUUGAACGAAACAGUUAUACAACUUCGUAUGCAAAUUG
rnacentral:lncRNA from 1 species